GCCAGAACAGAACGCGAUUUUUGGAAAGACUCGCGCGACGACGAUCUAGAAAAUGCAGUAGAAGAAGAUGAUGCAGAGUCUAUUAUAAGCUCACAUGAUGAGGAGGAUUAAUUCAUAGGCUGCUUCGAAGACGUUCCGGGAAGUGCGUAGUCCUGAACCCCUAAUCUCUUAAGAGGAUGGGGGAUGUACGGAAAUGCUACGCAAAGAUACUGCAAGUUCGUGGGUUCCACUUGUGGGUUAGCGUGCUACCUCUACGUCCCACUAAAAAAAAAAAAGAAUAAAGAAUGUAAUAAAAUCACGAGCUGUGAUGAUUAAACGCUGUAUGUUAUUUGCGGUUGCAACGUGUAUCACAGAAGUUACGUAUAAAAGGAAUUUCUUCUUAACAUCUUCUUAAUAACUUAAGUAACAAAAUAAUUCAUACCUUAUUUUCUCAGUUAUAGAUGCUGUUUCCUCACUCUGGAGAUGCACGCAGUUCUGCAUAUCUUUUAAUGGCGUUUGUGCAGUAGGAAGAUGAAGUACAGAGAGAGGGUAGCGAGAGACUAAAAAAAUCGCUGCAAAUUAACUUCAUCUUAUUGUGGAACAUAGAAAAAAAUGGUGCAGUAUUUAAAUUCUGGAUGCACGCAGCCUCAAGUAACAUCUAACCUAACAUAAACUUCCGCACGCACAGAAUCACCGAAGAUCACUCAUGUAAAUAAUGGCUCACACAUGUGUCACCGCAG